GCUUCAUCCCUGGGAUUGCGAGGCCGCGCCCACUCAUUGCUUUAGCCAAUAGCUGCUGUCCAAAGGGUUGCAGUUCUUUUUGUGCAUGCGCGUCUUGCAAACGCUGGAGCCGGGAGGUUUCUGGUGUUUGCUCCAGACGAUUCCUGGCUGCUGCUGAGCUUUUGGGCAGGAGGAGCGAGUGGGGGCUCUCCGCUUCCAGCCCCUGCGGCAGCCCUCUGCAGUGCCCAGCCUGCCACAAUGGUUCACGCGUUCCUGAUCCACACCGUGCGCUGCCGGCCUGGGGAUGAGUCGGGGCAUUGCCGGGUGCUCUAUGCCAGGGUCUUUGGUCCAGAAGAACUGGAUGAGGCCGGAUGCCCGGACCUUGAGAAGGAGCGACUGCGUAGGAAGGAGCAGAUUCUGGCUGUCGCAAGGCAAGUGGAGUCGGUGUGCAGACUGUGCCAACAGGCCUCUGGGAAGCCCCACUUGGACCACCUCGUCCAGCUCCCCGAUGAAGCCGUUUCUCUGCAGGAGGCCCCGUCGGGGGUCUUCCGUCUCCCAGCCGGGGAUCCCUUCUGUGAGGACAAGGCCACCCUCUGGCUGGCUGUCCAGUGCCUGGCCUUCACCCUGGUCUGUGACCCUCACGAGAACCUGCUGCUGGCCGAGAGCACCCUGAGGCUGCUGGUCAAGGCCCUCUUGGAGCAGCUCAAGCUGCUGAGCUCGGGCAGCGACGUCCUGCUCAAGGCCGACAGGACCGAGCUGCUCCUCGCCCGGUUCCUGCCCCUGGGCCAGCUGCUCUUCCUCAACGACCAGUUUGUGCUGGGCCUGGAGCGGGAGGCCAGCGCCGCUCUCGGCAAAUGAAGGGCUGCCCAGCGAGGAGGAGGAGGAGGAGGGAGGCGUUCCUGAAGACGCGGCUGGAGUGGCGUCGCGAGCUGGGGGUGGACGGAAGCAUCCUCUGCCCACAACACUCCCAGGGUGGCUUUCGGGAAGACAUCAAGCCAAUUGGGACCUUUUAAGAAUCCAGCGAGAAGAGAGCCUGAAAGCCAAGAGCCAGUGAGGGUUAGUCUGGGCAAUCCUGAUCUGUCCUGCUGGGCAAAUCAAAAAGUGUUCCCCUGGCUCAGAAACCAGACUGGCUGCAGAGCACACCCACCCUAGGGAGCGUUUCCCAAAGUCCGCACCACUGAAGAGGCUGCCUUGCUGGUCCCCGCUCCCCUUGCCUCCGGAUCGAGCUCUCUUUGGAGAGAGAGAGAGAGAGAGAGAGAGCACAGGGCAUCCCCUCACAAGCCUGGCCUUGACCAAAUGUCUUGUGUCCUCAGGGGUCGAAGGAGGUUCCUGGCCAUUCCAGUUGGCGGCCAGGAGUUUCCUUUCCCCUCGGGAUUCCCAGGAUUUGCCCGUUCCGUCUCAAGUGGCUGGAUCCUGUGCACGGCUUCAAGUUCUAGCUGCUUGGGUGCAAGAAGGGCACUGAAGCGGCAGCUGGUUCUUCCUGGCGGGUGGCAAAGAGACUCUCCCCCUUCUAACGAAUCUUCCCCUCCCCACAAAAGACACUUUCCUGUUGGGGGUGGCCCUUCCAGGGGGACUGGAGGAUGGCCAGGGCAGCAGUAAUAAAAGGAUUUUUGCCCAGGGUGGCCCACAGUGAUAGCUGUCGCUCAAGCAACACCACGCAUCAGGAACACCAUGUAGACACAACGGUACAAGUGCAAAGGCAGUGGAUGCCGCCUGGCAUACAAGAAGGCCAGCACAGAAUAAUCCAGAGGUUGAAAAGGCCGGGGACUUACAGAGACCUACAGCUGGUGCUGAGAAGAUGCCAAACUCCGCCCCAGCCAAAGCUCCCACUGAAAAGGGGCACCAGGCUGUUCUAGGCUUUGUGGUAAGGCCCUCCCCCCCCCGCCCCCAUUGUUUGCUGGGUGCCCCACACCCUGGCAGGAGAGACGUUCCUCCUCUCCCACCCUUGGAGGAACUGUCAACGCUACCAGUGGGCAGUUGUGGGCCCUUGGCUGUUUGGGGUUCCCUCCCCCCCAUAUGAUACAGCUCUGAGUUUCACUCUUGUCACCACUCCCCUCACCACCGAUGCCUGUGAGACCCUGAGGAAGGUCUCAUACAGAUACAGACACACACACUCACUCACUCAUGCAGGAGGAGAUCGUCCUGCAGGUACCUGGGUCCCAAGAAGUUUAGGGGUUUUGGAAGUUAACUCCUGGGCCCGUGGUGCCAGUGCAGCGUUUGAAGGCUGGAGAGGUGAAGCCGUGGCGGAGUUCUCUUGCUCUGUACUGGCCAGCAGCAGGGCAGAUCUUUGCAUCAGAGGGGGAUGGAUGUUCUCCACAGUGAAGAGCCCUUGAGGAGGGUGUUGGAGUUCACUUACCUGAGCCCCAAAGGUUGGCUGGAGAGGGGGAUGUCCAGAUAUGGGUGGGUUACACUUGCCUGUGCAGGUCUCUCAUUUUGGGGAAUUAUUAUUCCGAAUGUCUAGCCUCCGUCUGCUUCCUUGUCUUUGCAGCCCUUUGGUUUCAGUCCUGCUCUCAGCAGCAGCAACAGAGGGGAAAGCAUGCUCCUCUUUCUGUGGGGCAGCCCCUCAGAUAUUCUAGGGUUGCUGUCUUUCCCUGUGUAGCUGGGCCGGAUCGUCUGGCCUCUUCAUUGGGGAGGAGUAUGUUGCUUAUACCUCCAGUGUUUGAAGAACCAUUAAAAAGUCCUUGAACACUGAAAUAGAGAACAAGUAUUUUAAAUGUUUUCUUAUGGGUCUUGGUGUCAUCUUUGUUUGGUUGCCAUCUUCUGUUUUGUUCUUUUAUCGAUUUGAGUAUCACCAUUUCAUUUUGAACCCUUUUAAAACAAAAAAAACCUUCAUAUUGAAAGAUGGUAUAAAUAGUUUGUAAAUGAAUGAGGGAGACAGGUGUCUGCAUAUCUCUUCCCCCCACUCCACCUGCAUGUGCCUUGACAACAUCCUUUCUGCAUGGUUUUCAAAUCUGCUUUUUCCCUAAUGGAAGAGCGUCUGCUGUUGGAUGCAGAAGGCACCAAGUUCACUCCCUGGCAGCAUCUGCAGGGAGGGCAGGGUAGGGAAAGACUCUUGUUUGAAAAGUUCUGGAGAGUUGCUGCCAGUCAGAGUAGGCACUACUGAGCUAGAGUGAACAAUGGCUGGACUCCAUAUAAAGCAACUUCCUGUGUGGCUGUUGGGGCAAGGCUGCCAGGGUGAGGGGUGUAGGAAAGGUUCCUCCCAAAAUUUUCUGCGGUGCCCAUGGUGCUGCAAAAAAUGGAAGAAGCUCCAAGCCUCAUUUUGCAUUAGGCCUCCAAAUCCCUUUGUCCAGCCGUAAGCCACCUAAUGGCGUAGUGGGGAACUGUCUUGAUGGAGGUUGCUGGUUCAAAUCCCCGCUGGUCUGUUUCCCAGACUGUGGGAAUGGGAAACUCCUAUAUCGGGCAGCAGCGAUCUAGGAAGAUGCUGAAAGGCAUCAUCUCAUACUGCACGGGAGGAGGCAAUGGUCAACCCCUCCUGUAUCCUCCCUAAUGGAAACUAGAACUUGCAAUGAAAUGGACAAAAAAAUCCCAUUCCUUGAUAAAAAGUAGGGACCCUUUGUGUAUAUUUUCUUUUUUAUUCCUCAUUACACCAGAACCCAAAAACCUCAUAGCUAAGCAAGUGUGCUCAGAACUCCACCCAACAAUCAACUAAAUCUUUAAUUGGUUAAUCUACAAAUAAAGGUUACGAACAUUGUUGUUUUAAUUCCUAUUUGACAGAUGAGUAACUGGCUGCAGCCCUCAGAACUCAGUGGAGCAGCAGUGAUAGAGGAAGAUGCUGAAAGGCAUCAAUUCAGACUGCGUGGGAGGAGGCAACGGAAAACCCCUCCUGCAUUCUACCAAAGACAACCACAGGGCUCUGUGGGGCCAGGAGUUGAAACUGACUCGAUGGCACACUUUACUGCACAGAACCGUCCUGUGGGGCUUCCUGCGGUGGUGUGGGGCCCUCCAGUCAGUUGGACUCCACCUGUGAGGGUGGCUGUGACCAAUGUGCAAAGCACUUGGAGGAUAAAAUCACUUGCUUCCGCCACAGCUGGGAGGCCACAUUGGCAGAGCCAAAUGAUGCAUCCACAGCCACGCCCACCUGGCCAGUAGCUCUGGAUGCUUUCCAGCUUGCUCAGCUUGAGGAUGUGGACAGGAUCCUUGGGAGAAUGAGGGAAGUCACAUGCAUGCCUGAUCCUUGUCCUCUGCCUG